UACGUAGGGUGCAAGCGUUAAUCGGAAUUACGGGGCGUAAAGCGUGCGCAGGCGGCUUUGCAAGACAGAUGUGAAAUCCCCGGGCUUAACCUGGGAACUGCAUUUGUGACUGCAGGGCUGGAGUGCGGCAGAGGGGGAUGGAAUUCCGCGUGUAGCAGUGAAAUGCGUAGAUAUGCGGAGGAACACCGAUGGCGAAGGCAAUCCCCUGGGCCUGCACUGACGCUCAUGCACGAAAGCGUGGGGAGCAAACAGG
rnacentral:rRNA from 1 species